AGCGAACGCUGGCGGCAGGCCUAACACAUGCAAGUCGAACGAACUCUUCGGAGUUAGUGGCGGACGGGUGAGUAACACGUGGGAACGUGCCUUUUGGUUCGGAAUAACUCAGGGAAACUUGCGCUAAUACCGAAUGUGCCCUUCGGGGGAAAGAUUUAUCGCCAUUAGAGCGGCCCGCGUCUGAUUAGCUAGUUGGUGAGGUAACGGCUCACCAAGGAGACGAUCAGUAGCUGGUCUGAGAGGAUGACCAGCCACACUGGGACUGAGACACGGCCUAGACUCCUACGGGAGGCAGCAGUGGGGAAUCUUGCGAAAGGGGCGAAAGCCUGACGCAGCCAUGCCGCGUGAAUGAUGAAGGUCUUAGGAUUGUAAAAUUCUUUCACCGGGGACGAUAAUGACGGUACCCUGAGAAGAAGCCCCGGCUAACUUCGUG
rnacentral:rRNA from 1 species